rnacentral:lncRNA from 1 species
AGAUGAUGAGCGAUUGUGAGGGACAACUGAGAGUGAUGAGUGAAGUUUGAGAGAGACGCGGUUGAGAGGCGUGAGAGAGAGAUUGAGGACGAUGAACUUUUCUGGGUUCUUGUUAUAGUACCUCUCACCUUUUUUUUUUCUUUUAUUAAUUUUCUUUUUAUUUGUUAACAAAACCAACAUUUAAACUAUAAAAGAUUUUACGUUUAGUCUUCCUGUGUUUUUAUUUAAUAGUGUAUAUUAGUAUAUUAUUUUGGUAUUCCCAAUCCAUUAGCCUCUGGAACCCAACAGCCAGGUGGCUGGGUUUGUUUUCUUGGAUUUUUCCCACUUUUAAUUGGUAGUCCAACAGACUAUUUUAUCUUGGUUUUAUUUUUAAAUUUUAAUCUUAAUCUAUUUUGGUUUACUUAUUCAAAUUAGCAUUAAGAUAGCAAAUGACCACAAGUGACCUAGUGGAAAGAGAGCAAUUUCACUCUCUUUAGUGUGAGGGGUUCGAUACUUGGGGAUAGCAAAAUCUUCAUGUUUCUAUUUGUUAUGCUUAUUAUUUUAUUUAAUUUUGUAUAUAACUUCUACUAUUUAUUUUAUUUUAAUUUUUUAUCAAUUUAAUUUGAUCGAUAUUUAGCUGUUUGUAUCUUUAAACGUUUACCUUUUAGAUUUAAUUAAUGGUUGAAGUUCCGAUAUUUUUU